ACGGAAGGCGCAGUGGGGAAUAUUGCACAAUGGGCGCAAGCCUGAUGCAGCGAUGCCGCGUGAGGGAAGAAGGUUUUCGGAUUAUAAACCUCUGUCAUCGGGGACGAUAAUGACUGUACCCGAGAAGGAAGCUCCGGCGAACUACGUGCCAGCAGCCGCGGUAAUACGUAGGGAGCGAGCGUUAUCCGGAAUUACUGGGUGUAAAGGGAGUGUAGGCGGGACUGUAAGUCAGAUGUGAAAUAUGCCGGCUCAACUGGCAGACUGCAUUUGAAACUGCGGUUCUUGAGUGAAGUAGAGGUAAGCGGAAUUCCUAGUGUAGCGGUGAAAUGCGUAGAUAUUAGGAGGAACAUCAGUGGCGAAGGCGGCUUACUGGGCUUUAACUGACGCUGAGGCUCGAAAGCGUGGGGAGCAAACAGGAUUAGAUACCCUGGUA
rnacentral:rRNA from 1 species